rnacentral:rRNA from 1 species
UUUACAAUGGAGAGUUUGAUCCUGGCUCAGGAUGAACGCUAGCGGCAGGCUUAACACAUGCAAGUCG